rnacentral:tRNA from 1 species
UCCUUCUUAGCUCAGUUGGUAGAGCGCGUCACUAGUAUCAUUGCAAAUGACGAGGUCAGUCGUUCAAGUCGGCUAGAAGGAA